rnacentral:rRNA from 1 species
UACGUAGGGAGCAAGCGUUGUCCGGAAUCAUUGGGCGUAAAGCGCGCGUAGGCGGCCCGGUAAGUCCGUUGUGAAAGUCAAAGGCUCAACCUUUGAAAGCCGAUGGAUACUGCCGGGCUGGAGUCCGGAAGAGGCGAGUGGAAUUCCUGGUGUAGCGGUGAAAUGCGCAGAUAUCAGGAGGAACACCGGUGGCGAAGGCGGGUCUCUGGGCCGAUACUGACGCUGAGGAGCGAAAGCGUGGGGGAGCAAACAGG